rnacentral:lncRNA from 1 species
CAUUAGCAUAAAAGUAUACAAAUUCAACACCCAAAAAAUCAAUUGUGUUUCUGUAUAGAUAUAAUAAACCUUGAGAGAAAUAGGAAUGUGGAGAGCCAACAGUUCUAUAAGUAUUAAGGUGGACAACUUGGAUUUCCUAUUAAAGGGUUAAGUUAAAUAUUAUAGAACUUGCUGCCCAGCUCUGAAGAAGUUAGGCGUAGGAGAAAGUGAUAAGAAUAACACAAGGACACGGAACUGGGGAAAAGAAAACACGGGACUGUCUCAAGGCCUGGGGACUUUCCAGAUGUGCCUUAUGUAAGAUGUUUUCUAUUCUUGAGUGCUAUAAAAGAGAGCAGUAAAGUUAAUAAAGUAGCUCGGAUACUGGGAGCUCCCCCGACUCUGUUUCUUUGCCUUUCUUUUUCAUCAUCCUCACUCCUCCAUUCAGGUGUUGUUCGACAAGUGACGGCGGGCUCCGUCAUAGGAAAAAAUACUUUUCACAAAAGUAUCAAAAAAAGAGAAAUAUUUAGGAAUUAAUCUAACCAACAAAGACCUAUAUAAUGAAAAUUAGAGUACUCUGAAAGAAAAAAAUCAAAGAUGAUAUCAGAAAAUGGAAAGAUAUCCUCCUGUUCCUGGAGGCCGUGUCAUGUCUUUCUGAAAUCCAAAGAUUGUAGGAUACAUUUCUCUAUGGUGAACUUGGGACAUUUCUUCAGGAAUCUUGACUUUGUUCUAGUGAAUAGUUCCUGUGCUGGUCAACUGAUAUUCUUUUAGCAAAUGCAACAUCAGUGGCUAACUAGUGAACAAAUUGCUGAAUGUGACAUUUGGGUUAUUUUUGAAAUAUGUGCAACAAGUCUGUUUACAAAGUCAUAUGGUUAUUACUGAAUGAAGCCAGACCAGGUGGCUGAGUAACAUGAUAAAUUUCUAAAUUCCAGGUGUAAAAUGUCUUCACAUCUACCAG